GUCCAGUAUAAUGGUGCAUGCCUAUAAUCCCAGCUACUCAGGAGGCUGAGAUAAGAUCACCUGAGCCUAAGAGUUCUGGCCUGUAGUGUGCUAUGCCAGUCAGGUGUCUACACCAAGUUUGGCAUCAAUAUAAUUACCUCCCGGGAGUAGGGGGACCACCAGGUUGCCUAAGGAGGGGUGAACUGGCCCAGGUUGGAAACAAGAGGUCAAAACUCCCAUGCUGAUCACUAGUGGGAUCACGCCUGUGAGCAACCACUGCACUCCAUCCUGGGGCAACACAGCAAGACCCCAUCUCGG
ensembl:misc_RNA Metazoa_SRP Metazoan signal recognition particle RNA